rnacentral:antisense_RNA from 1 species
CCCUAUGGCAGGCCGCGCGGGGAGACCCUUCGGGGUCUGCCGGCCCGUGGUCCGGUUCGCUAACCCCGUUGCGGUCUGCCACCCCU